GUCAGCCCAGUCGUGUUUGUGGAGAGGUAUUCCUUCAGAAAUGGAGAAGACAGAAAGCUGCAGAGGCAGGAUUGUUUGCAGAUAAUGCUGCUCUUCUUUUUCAGAAGUUUUUGGUGAGCCAACCCUCACACACCUUCCUAAAAACUAAAAGAGCUAUUACUGAGUCUCAGUGAAUCUUGCCAUGAUCAGCUCUUCCCAGAAGAGAAGGAAGACCAAGGAAAUGAUUUGCUCAGGAUGAGGAAUGAAGACGGCCAUCUUGUGCUCAAACAAACAGAAGUCCACUGAUGAUCUCAUCAGCCAAAUGAGGGGUUUUGAUCAAGUGAUGCUCUUGAAAGGAGUGAAAGAAGAGGAUGUGGUAAAUUGUCUUCAGAGAAAAGGCUUCUCAAAAGGUCUUAAAACAGCUUGAAGAAUGGUCUGGGAUCUUAGGACUGAGAGAUCCUCUGGCUGAGAACAUGCUACACCACAUCGGUGCUGGAUAUCAACCACAAACUGUUUCCAGACACGAGAGAAGAAGAUCACGAUGGGGAGAUGAAACCAGUUUAGAUGUGAUGAUAAGGAAUCAUUAUUUUCUGGAACAGUAUCACAUGUC